UGGCAGCGGAUAGUAGUAAAAACUGAAGUCCAACCAGGUUCCCAAUGGAUAAUGGUAGUUCUUCUAUUGCGGUGCCAUUUAGAUACAACCCGCUUAAACAUUCCAUUUUACACUCGAUUUCAGGAAGAUAACGAAGGCUUGAGCACUCACUAAAAUUAAGCCUGCGUAAAGAUCUCAAAUUGAGGCUUCUUGGAAGGAUUUGGAGUUUAGAGCAUC